AGGGGAUGGGCGGCAGCUUACCAUGCAGUCGAGCGGAGAGAGGUAGCUUGCUACUGAUCUUAGCGGCGGACGGGUGAGUAAUGCUUAGGAAUCUGCCUAUUAGUGGGGGACAACAUUUCGAAAGGAAUGCUAAUACCGCAUACGUCCUACGGGAGAAAGCAGGGGAUCUUCGGACCUUGCGCUAAUAGAUGAGCCUAAGUCGGAUUAGCUAGUUGGUGGGGUAAAGGCCUACCAAGGCGACGAUCUGUAGCGGGUCUGAGAGGAUGAUCCGCCACACUGGGACUGAGACACGGCCCAGACUCCUACGGGAGGCAGCAGUGGGGAAUAUUGGACAAUGGGCGCAAGCCUGAUCCAGCCAUGCCGCGUGUGUGAAGAAGGCCUUAUGGUUGUAAAGCACUUUAAGCGAGGAGGAGGCUACUUUAGUUAAUACCUAGAGAUAGUGGACGUUACUCGCAGAAUAAGCACCGGCUAACUCUGUGCCAGCAGCCGCGGUAAUACAGAGGGUGCAAGCGUUAAUCGGAUUUACUGGGCGUAAAGCGCGCGUAGGCGGCUAAUUAAGUCAAAUGUGAAAUCCCCGAGCUUAACUUGGGAAUUGCAUUCGAUACUGGUUAGCUAGAGUGUGGGAGAGGAUGGUAGAAUUCCAGGUGUAGCGGUGAAAUGCGUAGAGAUCUGGAGGAAUACCGAUGGCGAAGGCAGCCAUCUGGCCUAACACUGACGCUGAGGUGCGAAAGCAUGGGGAGCAAACAGGAUUAGAUACCCUGGUAGUCCAUGCCGUAAACGAUGUCUACUAGCCGUUGGGGCCUUUGAGGCUUUAGUGGCGCAGCUAACGCGAUAAGUAGACCGCCUGGGGAGUACGGUCGCAAGACUAAAACUCAAAUGAAUUGACGGGGGCCCGCACAAGCGGUGGAGCAUGUGGUUUAAUUCGAUGCAACGCGAAGAACCUUACCUGGCCUUGACAUAGUAAGAACUUUCCAGAGAUGGAUUGGUGCCUUCGGGAACUUACAUACAGGUGCUGCAUGGCUGUCGUCAGCUCGUGUCGUGAGAUGUUGGGUUAAGUCCCGCAACGAGCGCAACCCUUUUCCUUAUUUGCCAGCGAGUAAUGUCGGGAACUUUAAGGAACUGCCCCUGACAAACUGGAGGAAGGCGGGGACAAAAUCAA
rnacentral:rRNA from 1 species